GUUGACCUCGGAUCAAGUAGGAAUACCCCGCUGAACUUAAGCAUAUCCAUCAAGCGGAGGAAUCUUU
rnacentral:rRNA from 1 species